CAAAGUCAAACUAAUCAUUUCCGAAUGCCAUCCUUUGCUCCAAAAUAAUUAAAAGAAAUAACCUUAUUUCUAUUAAUCAAUUUCUUUCUUUUUCGAAUGCCAUCCUUCAUAAAUCAAAGUCAAAUAUGACUUGUACUAAAUUUGGGCCACAUAAAGCUUGAUAGUCAAAAAAUUAGAGGCCCAAUUAUGCGCUACUUUGGAGACGUACUUUAUAUCUAUCAGUUGGUCUCUCCAUCUUUAUCUCUUCGCAAAUGUACGACCUGCAGCUUGCAAAGUCUUUGGCUUUUAGGAUUCCCCAAUGACGCGAUUCUUUCGCUGUUCCAAUCUCUCCUCCAUCUCCAAGAGAUUUGCAUCCUGAAAAUCUUCUUCUGAUUAUGACCAAAGCUCCUGAUGCGUCCCUAUAUUCUUGUGGACAAAUGUGGGUAUGAUUUCAUGGAUACAUAUAUAAUAACUCAUCUUAUAGUUAUCCAUAAAUAUGAAACCAUUUACGCAGCAAUCAUCAAACUAAUCUUAAAUUCAAAUUUCAGAUUCUUCAAGGUUAUCAGCUGCUAAUUCUGAUAAGAAUUUCGUAGGUUCCCCUUCAAGUAAAGACUUCUAACUAUUGUAGGGAACUAGCACUAUAUAUAGAGUGCUAAAGUUCAUAUUUUUUUUUUUCUACAAACUCAAGCUUGGAUCGCAGAAAUCCUCUUCCUCUUUCAAUUUUCUUUCGUUGACAGCGUUGGGGUUGAAUCUUGAUAAUUGGAGAUCCAGUAUAUAAUCACUUGACUUUAAAUGAAGUAGAGUGUGGAGAGAAGCAGCGGCGGGAUGGGCUCCUUGUUGUUGCCCUGUUUUACCGGAGCUGCGCGCGUAGCGGCAGUCCCCAGAAGCAGCGGCGGUGCGGCUCUCCUCGCUGGUGCUAUCCAUCGGAGAAUGUGUUGUGCUUCCAGCUAGGGAGACAAAUGCGGAGCUUGGAGGUUAAACUCGCCGGAUUACCAUCAAUGGCGUCGACAUUUAUGCAGCAAUUCGCAAAGUAGAAGACCUUCGGGAAGCGAUCGUCGAAGAAGUAUUUGGAGGAGGCGCUGCACAAGAAGCUGUCCAGCGAUGGCGGUGAUGGAGGAAUUCAGGCUUCGUUUUUUGCAGCAGUCAUUGGCUUCUUUUUAGCGGGCGCGGCAGCAGUCGGAACCGGCUUGGAGCACGGAGGGAUGGAGUUGAGAGGCUUCUCGCAGGAUUUCAGGAUGUGGGGACCGAAGCGGAGAAAACAUGACGGCGAACCAUGGCAGCAGUGCAACGUCUAUCCCAGGCAACAACGGCGUCGACAUAUUUUGAAAAGAAUGAGAGAAGUGGAGAGUGCAGACUCGAUUAUGUUUCUAUGGCGACCUUCAGUUUGAGUGCGAGCGUUGGAGAAGCAGGGACAGCUUGUGGCAAUCGCCGACUUCUUCGGAAUGGACGCAGCAGCAGCAGGAACCGACUUUGAGCACGGAGGGAUGGAGUGGGGUUGUACUCGGUGAGGGAGUUGCUUUGCUUGAUCACAUUCGAGCGUGGAGAGAAGCGGCCGUGGGAGUUGGAUCUGGCUCCUCAAUCAAAUGACAGCAGCAACAACAUGAUUAUGGUCAACCAUCUGUUUCUCCAUAUUCUCAAAGUUAUCCUGUGCGGCAUUCGUCUCCUGUGGGAUAGCUACACUCGUCAAGAUUAUGCCGUGACUUUCUUCUUCUUCUUUUUUUUUUUUUUUUUUUUUUGUAGGAAUUGGUGAUUUUGCACGCAUCCAUUGAAAAGUCGUGGAGUUUUUUUUUUUUUUUUUUUUUUUUUCAUAUAGAAGUUUUAUGUUGCCCCAACUUCAACUAUUAUUCGAGUGCAUUCAACCGAGGAAUUUCGCUGAUACAAAUUGAUGGAGUGCAUUCAACCGAAGAAUUUUGCUGAUACAAAUUCGAGGGAUUUCUUCAUCUACUCAUCGGAGCUUCUCAAUAUGGAUUGGAUGAUGUUUACCUUGCACCUUUAGGUGGCUCUCAAUUGGCUUUUAUUCAGAUUCUGGGUGCGCUCGAAUCUGGGCCAUUGUGAGUCUUGCCUUUAAAGGUUUCUCGAGUCUAGUUUCAAUGGAGUUGGUACUUUUAGCGAGCGCGUGCUUCCACUCCACUACUACCAGAUUUAAUGGAGUUGUUACUUUUGGCGAGCGCAUGCUUCCACUCCGCUGCUAGGUGUUAUAAAGCUCGAAGUUCGGCGUAUACUUUGGAAUCAAGGCGAAGUUCUCCGCGUCGGCGCAUACUUUGGAAGCAAGGCGAAGCCCUCCCCAUUGGCGUAUACUUUGGAAGCAAGGCGAGACCCUCCACAUCGACACAUACUUUGGAAGCAAGGCGAAGCCCUCCACAUCGACACAUACUUUGGAAGCAAGGCAAGGCCCUUCACAUCGACCCAUACUUUGGAAGCAAGGAGAAGGUCCGCAUCAACGUUCCCUAUGCAUCAACAUUAUAAAGUCCAAAGUUUAAGUCAGAUCCAACAUUCGAACAAAGCGAAGACCCUCCACGUCAACGUCAUGAAGCUCAAAGAUCAAGUCCAAGAAGAUCGGAUGCAUAUUUCUUCAAUAAAUCUCAAGGACUACUCAAAGAUCGUUCAAGAAUUAACUUGAAUAUUGGAGAGAGCUCUUUCAAAGUGUGUUGAAGCUAGAUGUGGAAACGCGGAGUUUAAAAUUGAUCAAGAACGCUUUCAAGGUUUGGACCCGUUUUAUUGAAGCUUUGUCAACUAUUGGCUCUCUCAUUGCUUCGUUUCUUCACUUGCAUUUGUCCAUAACUUUCGCGCAACAUUUAUUGCUUCUUCUGAAUUAAUGCAACAUUUGGCUUCAGACA